CUGGGUUGCGCGCGCAUCCAGACAGCCUCUCCAUUACCUCAACAUUGCAAUCCGCGGUGGCGCUGCUGACGUCAUCUUUAAUCAGAAAAAUAUGCGGGUUCUUCGGAGCAGCAAGCCACGCUCCUACAACUCCUCAAACUCCUGCAAAUCAAGUGUCAACAAACAGCGUCCGUUCAAAGCGCCGCUUCCUGACCUGAAAAAUAUGCGGGUUCUUCGGAGCAGCAAGCCACGCUCCUGCAACUCCUCAAACUCCUGCAAAUCAAGUGUCAACAAACAGCGUCCGUUCAAAAUGCCGCUUCCCGACCUG